rnacentral:sRNA from 1 species
AUUUCUCAGAAGGUUUUGAUAGGUGGGCCUUAGAGGAGACGCCGCCGAGCACCGCAAGAACUGGAAAACACACCCCUCUCUGUCUGCCUGGGAGAGCCACGGAAAUUGGCACUUCUCUGAGUGAAGCUGAGGAGAAGGCUGUAAAUCUGCCAAAACAGCCUUGAAGUAUUCUUUUGUCAUGAGGAAGUGACGGCUGCUCGAGGGAGGUGAACACCACAAGGAGAGAUGGCAUCUGGCCUGGGCCCCGCCUAGCAGCAGCUCCACCUCCUAGGCCAGGCCCUGCGGGAUGCGCCACUAGACCACCAUGGAUGGAUCCCACAGUGCAGCCCUGCAGCUGCAGCAGCUGCCUCCCACAAGUAGCUCCAGCGCCGUAAGCGAGGCCUCCUUCUCCUACAAGAGACAAGGAGACUGAGACAGAGAAAUUCAGUAAUGGCCCUGACUGGCACAACUAGUAAGUUGUGCAACCAGAAUUUAAACCCGGGUCAGACCAGCUGCAGAACCCAUGCUCCUAACUGCGGCGCUGCUCUGACUCUCCGGUGUCCUGACUCCUGCUGCUGCCACCGCAUCCCAGCAUGCCCAAGGAGGGGACUCUGCAGGUCAUUAAAGGCUUUUGUCAUUUUAAUUCCUUCUGACCAGCCAGGUGGAAUAUGUAUGGAAAUUAUGAACAUUUGUCUGGAAUUAGACUCAUUCUAGA